GGAUGAUGUUGCGUGACAACAUUGUGACAUCAUAACUUACGCUGUUUUAUUUGCUGUUGCACCAAUAUAACAUAAAGGCAUAUAACAGCACCUUGGAUGUAUGUAGUGCUUCCCUCCCAUGGAACUUAAGGCACUUCACAGGCAUUUUCUUUCUAAACCUCACAACAUCUCUCUAAGGAAAAGUGCUUUGCAAGAGUUGGAGAAAAGACAAAUACUCAAACCAAUCAUGCCUCAGAAAGAAGCCUUGAGUCAGCCUGCAACACUUUCCACUUUCCAGUGUCAGCCUCAGUGGGAUGGAUAGUGAUACAGUAUUCCAACUUUUUGACACUGAGGAUUUCUUAUCUACCACCACAACCUGGACCACUUAGCAUGAUCAAACCAGCGCUUGAAGUUUCUUCAUGAUUUGCCAAUCAGCUAAAGAUAGCCAACUGACCUCACCAUUGGAUCAGUAGCAAGACUAUGAGCUUGGAAGACUUGAAUAAAUCUAAGCCUAUGAAAAGGCACUGGGGAGUAUUACCUAUAGUCAUGUGAUGAUUUAGUGUUAUCAAAUAGCCCAUGUAGGGAGCUGCCCACUCUGCCCUGAGGAGGGACAGUCCUGGUGAGUAGUUGUUGG
ensembl:lncRNA